rnacentral:rRNA from 2 species
GCAGUCGAACGAUGAUGCCCAGCUUGCUGGGUGGAUUAGUGGCGAACGGGUGAGUAACACGUGAGUAACCUGCCCCUGACUCUGGGAUAAGCGUUGGAAACGACGUCUAAUACUGGAUAUGACUGCCGGCCGCAUGGUCUGGUGGUGGAAAGAUUUUUUGGUUGGGGAUGGACUCGCGGCCUAUCAGCUUGUUGGUGAGGUAAUGGCUCACCAAGGCGACGACGGGUAGCCGGCCUGAGAGGGUGACCGGCCACACUGGGACUGAGACACGGCCCAGACUCCUACGGGAGGCAGCAGUGGGGAAUAUUGCACAAUGGGCGAAAGCCUGAUGCAGCAACGCCGCGUGAGGGAUGACGGCCUUCGGGUUGUAAACCUCUUUUAGUAGGGAAGAAGCGAAAGUGACGGUACCUGCAGAAAAAGCACCGGCUAACUACGUGCCAGCAGCCGCGGUAAUACGUAGGGUGCAAGCGUUGUCCGGAAUUAUUGGGCGUAAAGAGCUCGUAGGCGGUUUGUCGCGUCUGCUGUGAAAUCCCGAGGCUCAACCUCGGGCUUGCAGUGGGUACGGGCAGACUAGAGUGCGGUAGGGGAGAUUGGAAUUCCUGGUGUAGCGGUGGAAUGCGCAGAUAUCAGGAGGAACACCGAUGGCGAAGGCAGAUCUCUGGGCCGUAACUGACGCUGAGGAGCGAAAGCAUGGGGAGCGAACAGGAUUAGAUACCCUGGUAGUCCAUGCCGUAAACGUUGGGCGCUAGAUGUAGGGACCUUUCCACGGUUUCUGUGUCGUAGCUAACGCAUUAAGCGCCCCGCCUGGGGAGUACGGCCGCAAGGCUAAAACUCAAAGGAAUUGACGGGGGCCCGCACAAGCGGCGGAGCAUGCGGAUUAAUUCGAUGCAACGCGAAGAACCUUACCAAGGCUUGACAUACACCGGAAACGGCCAGAGAUGGUCGCCCCCUUGUGGUCGGUGUACAGGUGGUGCAUGGUUGUCGUCAGCUCGUGUCGUGAGAUGUUGGGUUAAGUCCCGCAACGAGCGCAACCCUCGUUCUAUGUUGCCAGCGCGUUAUGGCGGGGACUCAUAGGAGACUGCCGGGGUCAACUCGGAGGAAGGUGGGGAUGACGUCAAAUCAUCAUGCCCCUUAUGUCUUGGGCUUCACGCAUGCUACAAUGGCCGGUACAAAGGGCUGCGAUACCGUAAGGUGGAGCGAAUCCCAAAAAGCCGGUCUCAGUUCGGAUUGAGGUCUGCAACUCGACCUCAUGAAGUCGGAGUCGCUAGUAAUCGCAGAUCAGCAACGCUGCGGUGAAUACGUUCCCGGGCCUUGUACACACCGCCCGUCAAGUCAUGAAAGUCGGUAACACCCGAAGCCGGUGGCCUAACCC